CAGCCGCCGCGGUAAUACGAAGGGGGCUAGCGUUGCUCGGAAUUACUGGGCGUAAAGGGAGCGUAGGCGGGUCGUUUAGUCAGAGGUGAAAUCCCGGGGCUCAACCUCGGAACUGCCUUUGAUACUGGCGACCUUGAGUAUGGGAGAGGUGAGUGGAACUCCGAGUGUAGAGGUGAAAUUCGUAGAUAUUCGGAAGAACACCAGUGGCGAAGGCGACUCACUGGCCCAUUACUGACGCUGAGGCUCGAAAGCGUGGGGAGCAAACAGGAUUAGAUACCCGCGUAGUCCCUGUCUCUUAUAC
rnacentral:rRNA from 1 species